GCCCGCAUAGCUCAGUGGUAGAGCAUUGUACUUAUGAGGAUAACUUGGCCAUCAUGCAAGGGUCUCCAGUUCGAUCCUGGGUGGGGGCA